rnacentral:misc_RNA from 1 species
GAGAAACAAAGCGGGAGAAAGUGUGGAAGUAUUUAGAACAUGUUUAAAUCUGAAACGUAAAAUGUUUUUCAAAAUAAGAUGUUUCUUGUUUUCGCUUGUUAUUGACACGAAUGAAUUCUUAACAAACUCAUUUAUUAUAACCUGUCGACGUGUUAGACAAAAAACGUACUUUGAGAGAUGAACAGUUUUACUGCGCGGUGAUAACCUACAAAUCUUCGAACAUGGAGACAUUUAAGAAUAUUGACUGGCAUCCUACGUUAGAGGAUUUAAUAGACGAUGUAUUCAUCAGAGAUGAAAGAAUGCAAGAUGAGAGCGCAAUGUAUAAAAUUUUGACCGAUUGCUUUAAAGAUCCCUUUGAAGAUAUUGAAUCUGAGUAUGCUGAGGUCGAUGUAGAACAAAUUAAACAACUCAGUGAUGAUAUCGAUAUUUCCGUUGAUAUGGAAGAAGAGAAAUUCAAGAAUAAGGAUUCUGUGCAAGAGGAAAAGUCUUAUGUUCCUGGCAUAAGAAAAUUGCCAUUCAACUUUCCAAGAAGAUCUUGCUUAAGCAAACCUCAGCAAGCUAUGUGUCUUCGUGUUUUAUUGAAAUUAUCUACUAAAGAAUAUAUGCUGACGGAUGUUCAAAGAGCUGAGAUGGAAGCUUAUAUGGCAUUACAAAAACAAAUAACUAAAGAACAAACAGAGUUCUUAGACUUUGCAAAGAGUAAAUGGGAUAAUAAUUUAACGCAUAUGAUUAAAUGUAAUAAAUAUGUCAUAGAAAAAUGGAAGGCAAAGGUGCGGAGGCUUCAGCAGCUACCUAGAUAUUAUAUUGAAUGUAAAAAUAUACCACUAUCUGUGCAAGAAAUUAAUAUUAAUACAUCAACUAAGAAGAAGAUCAAAGUGGAAUUUGUGACUUGUUUGAAGCAGGUAUCCUUUUUUGAGGUGACGUUGCCAAAACUCGAUCAGCCCUGUAAGUUAUCCAUGAAUCCUGAAAAUCUGCUCCGAAAAUAUCAGCCAUGUGUUGUAUUUGACAAAGCAACGGAGCAUUUCAGGUUUCCUGUAAGCGAGGAUGAAUAUUGUGAGAAAUUUGCGUUGGAAACCAAAGCAGACUUAAUCAUCUCGUCCAGCGGCCUAAAAUGUCUACUAAACAACUUAGAUUACAAGCAUACAAAUACGUGGGCUAUACCGGUAGUUAUAAAAUCGCAUAAUGAGAAGAACUUUGUAUAUAUCGAUAAAAAAUUACCACCUCUAAUUGCCACUGUACCGGAAAAGAAUACCUGGGUGUACAAGUACAUCCUCAGGUACUAUUUUGUCGAUGCUAAAAAUAAAUCGCUGGAAAAUGCGGAAAAAUACAAAUUGGAUAAAUCUGCAGUCCAUUUAGACUCGGACGAUUCAGAGUGUAGUUACUCGUCUAUUAAUCAUCUGAAAGACUAUGAAAAAGAUCUGUAUUUAUCAGAUACAGACGAAUCGGAGUUCGCAAGUGAAAACGAGGUUCCUGAAACACAUAAAAAUGUGUCAUACAAAGUUUUCACGAUAGAACCAGCAGAGUUUGUAGAUCAGCACGAUCAAGUGACACAUGCCGUAAAGAAGUAUCGAAUGUUAGUUCGCACAAAAACGGAAGGCAUUGAGGUAUCAUCAGAUGGAAAAUCACUACCUUUAAUAUUAGCGCCGAAGAUGGAGCACCAGUUAGGAUUUGGAGCUGAAGCUACAACAUUGGAGGAAGGAAUACAUCAAUGGGCGUCGCUAAUGUUUACGCCUGAGGCAUCGUUGGCAAGAGUUAGAAUAGAAGCGGAUACUUCGGAAGUGAUACAGAUAGAAAGACACAUGACAACGUCGCUGAGCAGCGAGAUGAAAAGGCUUUAUAACGUCAAGGUGGAAGAUUCUUUGAGCAUUCUACACAACAUUAUCGAAGUAUUGUCAUUCUUGACUCCUGGUCGGUAUAUUCUGAAGCAUGUACCACAAAACGGAUCUUUCGCGUAUGUUUAUAAAAAUGUUGAAGAAAGUGGGAAAAACGUCUUGGAUUUACAUGCGAUUUAUCAAGACGCAAAAUUUCAAACGGCAUCCAUUACGCCGUGGCCACUCAUAGACAAUAUGAUGACAACACCAGCGAUCAAGUGUUUUAAUAAAAUGCCUGCUAUGUUUAACGCUUAUUCUCCGAAACCUGUAGUAAGCACUCGACCUAGAGGACGUCCAAAGAAAAAGCCCACUCAAGCUCCUCUUCGGAGAAGUCUUAGAGGAAAAAUAACGAAUAAAGAAUAAAAGAAAUGCAGUAUCAUUUUCUGGAAGUUUCUAUUUUCAAGAAUCUUACCAAAUGGUUAUUUAUUUGAUGUGCAAUUGACACAGUUUAUUCAGAGUAUGUGUUGUAGCAUGGAAUACGCUUUAGUUUUUUUAUCAAUUGUUACCACCUAUAACUGUGUCUGAAUGUGUUAUGUAUAUAUUUAUAUACAUUUAUUAAAUAUAUAUAAUUUAUUUUUAUAUAACACAAGACUGAAAACAAUAUUAAUAUCCGAGGGGUGUUUUCGUCGGUUUUAUUUCCUUCGAUUCCUCAAUCAUGCUUACGAGCUACAAGAUUCUUUAUAUAAAUCUUUCCAGAUCUUUU